AUUGAACGCUGGCGGCAGGCCUAACACAUGCAAGUCGAACGAGUGGCGGACGGGUGAGUAAUGUCUGGGAAACUGCCCGAUGGAGGGGGAUAACUCCUGGAAACGGUAGCUAAUACCGCAUACCAUCGGAUGUGCCUAGAGGGGAUUAGCUAGUAGGUGGGGUAACGGAUCACCUAGGCGACGAUCCCUAGCGGGUCUGAGAGGAUGACCAGCCAGACUGGAACGAGAACACGGUCCAGACUCGUACGGGAGGAGGCGGUGGGGAAUAUUGCACAAUGGGCGAAAGCUGGAUGCAGCCAGGACGCGUGUAUGAAGAGGGCCUGCGGGUUGUAAAGUACUUUCAGCGGGGAGGCGUUACUCGCAGAAUAAGCACCGGCUAACUCCGUGCCAGCAGCCGCGGUAAUAC
rnacentral:rRNA from 1 species